GGUCCGCCUGUCUGUAAGGAAGGUGCUUUCUUAGCUCCUCUUUGCCAUGUGCUUAGUUGGGAAGGUUCUCUGUCUGGAGUGGAGGCUCUGAAGCAGUGACUGGGCAGGGUCCUACAGAUCAUCUCGGAGUUGGCCGCUCAAGUCACCUAGAGGAAAGGGCCUUGUGCCAGUGUCCAGUGUGGACAGCUCUCCUAACUGCUUAGCAUUCAGAGAAGCUUUCCUUGCUACAGUGCUAAGUGAUUGACAGGCAGUCCCCAAAUGGUAAUCACCACAAGAGAAGAAGAGAGAAAAUGCUCAAUGGGAUAUGAAUUGGGAGAUACCACCUACAGCAUGGAGACCAUGAACAUUUUCACAGAGGAGGCGCCCCUUGAAUUUGGUCCUAAAUAUUCACCAGAGUUGGAAUCUGUAGAGAACAAGAUGAGGUGGAACACCUCAGACACAGAAAAUGCAGGACAUGUUUGAGAGAAGGCCAGAGAUUCUGCCAUAUAAAGUACAAGAAGAAAACAUAUCCUGUAAAUGUAAUUAUGAGCAUGGGCUCCGGAGUUAGAUGUCCUGGGUUUGAAUUCCAGCUUAACUGUUAACCAACUCUGUGACCUUGG